rnacentral:tRNA from 1 species
GUCUUUGUAGUAUAACUAAUACUCUGGUCUUGUAAACCAGAAAUGAAACAAUAAGUUUCCAAAGAUA